rnacentral:rRNA from 1 species
AUUGAACGCUGGCGGCAGGCCUAACACAUGCAAGUCGAGCGGAUGAAGGGAGCUUGCUCCUGGAUUCGGCGGCGGACGGGUGAGUAAUGCCUAGGAAUCUGCCUGGUAGUGGGGGAUAACGUCCGGAAACGGGCGCUAAUACCGCAUACGUCCUGAGGGAGAAAGUGGGGGAUCUUCGGACCUCACGCUAUCAGAUGAGCCUAGGUCGGAUUAGCUAGUUGGUGGGGUAAAGGCCUACCAAGGCGACGAUCCGUAACUGGUCUGAGAGGAUGAUCAGUCACACUGGAACUGAGACACGGUCCAGACUCCUACGGGAGGCAGCAGUGGGGAAUAUUGGACAAUGGGCGAAAGCCUGAUCCAGCCAUGCCGCGUGUGUGAAGAAGGUCUUCGGAUUGUAAAGCACUUUAAGUUGAGAGGAAGGGCAGUAAGUUAAUACCUUGCUGUUUUGACGUUACCAACAGAAUAAGCACCGGCUAACUUCGUG